GCCUGGGUGGCUCAGUCGGUUAAGCGUCCGACUUCAGCUCGGGUCACGAUCUCGCGGUCCGUGAGUUCGAGCCCCGCGUCGGGCA
rnacentral:tRNA from 1 species